rnacentral:rRNA from 1 species
GAUGAACGCUGGCGGCGUGCCUAAUACAUGCAAGUAGAACGCUGAAGGAAGGAGCUUGCUCUUUCCGGAUGAGUUGCGAACGGGUGAGUACCGCGUAGGUAACCUGCCUGGUAGCGGGGGAUAACUAUUGGAAACGAUAGCUAAUACCGCAUAACAGUAGAUGUUGCAUGAUAUCUACUUAAAAGGUGCAAUUGCACCACUACCAGAUGGACCUGCGUUGUAUUAGCUAGUUGGUGAGGUAACGGCUCACCAAGGCGACGAUACAUAGCCGACCUGAGAGGGUGAUCGGCCACACUGGGACUGAGACACGGCCCAGACUCCUACGGGAGGCAGCAGUAGGGAAUCUUCGGCAAUGGACGGAAGUCUGACCGAGCAACGCCGCGUGAGUGAAGAAGGUUUUCGGAUCGUAAAGCUCUGUUGUAAGAGAAGAACGAGUGUGAGAGUGGAAAGUUCACACUGUGACGGUAUCUUACCAGAAAGGGACGGCUAACUACGUG